AAAAUUCGUUGGCUUUAUAGACCGUGAGGGUUCAAG
rnacentral:tRNA from 1 species